rnacentral:rRNA from 1 species
GUACUGUCAUUAUCAUCCCUGGUAAAAGAGCUUUACAACCCUAAGGCCUUCAUCACUCACGCGGCAUUGCUGGAUCAGGCUUUCGCCCAUUGUCCAAUAUUCCCCACUGCUGCCUCCCGUAG